rnacentral:lncRNA from 10 species
GCAUGGAGCUGUAACGGCGGCGUCCGGGCUGGCAGCAGCACAGACACUGCCACGUCCCACGCCACCGCGGGGUGGGCAGCACGGCAGAUGUCUUUCGACGGCGACCCGGACCCCAGGGAGGUUGCUGUUGGAUCAGUCCUGAUGCAUAAGUGAACAUGUUGAAGCUCGGAGAGGUUGAAAGGCCUUUGCUGCUUGCAGUUCCCAUCCAGCUAGAGCAGAUGGCCAAUAGGAGUAGUGUGCGUGCCACAUGUUGACUUUUAAAUUUUCCAGCAGCAACAUGAAAGAAGAGUAAAAAGAAAA